AUUGAACGCUGGCGGCAGGCCUAACACAUGCAAGUCGAGCGGAUGAAGGGAGCUUGCUCCUGGAUUCAGCGGCGGACGGGUGAGUAAUGCCUAGGAAUCUGCCUGGUAGUGGGGGAUAACGUCCGGAAACGGGCGCUAAUACCGCAUACGUCCUGAGGGAGAAAGUGGGGGAUCUUCAGACCUCACGCUAUCAGAUGAGCCUAGGUCGGAUUAGCUAGUUGGUGGGGUAAAGGCCUACCAAGGCGACGAUCCGUAACUGGUCUGAGAGGAUGAUCAGGCACACUGGAACUGAGACACGGUCCAGACUCCUACGGGAGGCAGCAGUGGGGAAUAUUGGACAAUGGGCGAAAGCCUGAUCCAGCCAUGCCGCGUGUGUGAAGAAGGUCUUCGGAUUGUAAAGCACUUUAAGUUGGGAGGAAGGGCAGUAAGUUAAUACCUUGCUGUUUUGACGUUACCAACAGAAUAAGCACCGGCUAACUUCGUG
rnacentral:rRNA from 1 species